rnacentral:lncRNA from 1 species
AUAGCUUUAGGAUAUAUGUUAUUCCUUAUACAACAAGGAUUAACAUGAUUAGGUCUAGUAUAAAUAGAGGUCUCUAUUCAAAGUUGUAAGAUACAGAAACAUAAAACUCUCUAAAGCAUAGAACACGCAACUAGUGCGAAGCUUGUAACGUUUUCGAUUCAUAGUGAUAUAGAGUUUGUCUCCGGUUUGGAGAGGACUCGCCCAACAUAUUGUUGUGUCGAUUUACUUGUUACAAGAAACAGCCAAGGUCGUUUCUCUACAAGUGGUAUCAGAGCUUAGGCUAACAGAGAUCCUAGUUACAGAGAUUCGAGGGCAAGAUUCAAUAAACAAGCAAGGAGAAUUCUUAUCUGGUGCGGAGAAGAAGACUCAGCUCGUUGGUGAUUGAAGCUUGAAGACUACGGCGUGUUACAGCAACCUGCAAACAAAGGAAAAUAAGUUUACGGGUUAUAGGAGAGAUGGAAGCAAUUUCAAAGAAAUUUGAAGUGGAAAAAUUCGAUGGCAAAGGUGAUUUUGGUCUAUGGAAAUAUAAGAUGCUGUGUCAGCUAGAGAUCUUUGGUUUGGGGUCUGUUCUUAAGGAGAAAACUCCUUCUACGGAUGUUGAAGGUGAAGAACAGAAAGAUGAAAAACCUGAUCCUAAGGAGCAAGACCGGGAAUUGCGUACAAAGAAUCUGAUCAGUUUGUGUCUAUCUGACCUUAUUCUGCGCAAGGUUAUGCAAGAGCCUACAGCACUGGCUAUGUGGAAAGCUCUAGAAGCUGAGUAUCAGACCAAGACAUUACCAAAUCGAAUCUACAUGAAGCAGAGAUAUGCAGGUUUUAGAAUGGAAGAGCACAAGUCCAUUGAGGAAAAUAUGGAUGUGUUUCUGAAACUUGUGGCUGAUCUAGCAAGUCUGGAUAUUAAGAUCAGUGAAGAAGAUCAAGCAAUUCAGAUCUUAACCAGCUUGCCAAAGCAAUACGAGUCUCUCGUUGAUGCAUUAAAAUACGGCAGCGGCAAAGAAAUUUUAACGGUUCGUGAUGUUACAAGCUCAGCUUAUUCUAAGGAAGUAGAAUUAAGAGAGAAGGGACUUCUCAACAAGUCCAAAGGUAACUCGGAGGGGCUAUUUGCUGGCGACAACAGAGGCAGAGGGGAGAAGAAGAGCGAUAAAACUUGGAGAGCUAGAUCUAAAAGCAAUAACAGAUCAAAAUCAAGACCUAAGUUCUCUAAAGAAUGUUGGACGUGUGGCAAGGAAGGACAUUUUAAAAAGCAGUGUCCAGAAAGAAAGAAGCCAUCAAAUUCGGUCAACAUAGCAGAAGAGAAGGAGGAACCAUUGGUAUUAGUGGCUAGCCAGCAAGCUACUAAGGACGAGUGGGUACUUGAUUCUGGCUGUACAUUCCAUAUCACUCCAAAUAAAGAUGUCUUAUUUGACCUUGAAGACAUAGAAGGAGGAAAGGUUUUGAUGGGAAAUAAUUCUAUCAGCGAGAUUAAAGGGAUCGGGAAGAUCAGGAUCAUGAAUAAUGAUGGAUCGAGCGUGAUUCUCAGUGAUGUUCGUUACAUGCCUACAAUGGGCAGAAACCUUAUCUCCUACGGUUUAUUGGAGAAGAUGGGAUGCAGAUACGAAGGCAAAGACUUCAUGGUGCAGUUUUACAAAGGAGAUAAGAAGGUUAUUUCUGGAAAAUACUGUGAUGGUCUGUACUACUUACAAGGGACAGUAUUGGAUGGUGAAGCUGCAGUCGCAAGGCCUGAUAUCGAUUUGACUAAAAGGUGGCACUCUAGGCUUGGACAUAUGAGUCUAAAGGGCAUGAAUAUUUUAGUUAAGGACGGAUAUUUAAACGCAAAGGAUGUGAAGACGUUAGAGUUUUGCGAGAAUUGCGUUUUGGGCAAAGCACACAAGCUAAGCUUUCCAAAAGGCAAGCACACGACUAAGGAAGUCCUAGAGUACAUCCAUUCAGAUUUAUGGGGUUCACCUUCGGUGGUAGAGAGUCUCGGAGGAUGUUUCUACUUUGUUACAUUCAUUGAUGAUUUUUCUAGGAAAGUUUGGAUCUAUUUCCUAAAAUCAAAAAAUGAAGUGUUUCAAAACUUCAAGGAAUGGAAAACAUGCGUGGAAACUGAGACAGGAAAGAAGGUGAAGUGUCUUAGGACGGAUAACGGAUUAGAGUUCUGCAAUACACAGAUGGACACAUUGUGUAAGGAAGCAGGGAUUAAAAGACACAGAACAUGCGUCUAUACUCCACAGCAAAACGGAGUAUCAGAACGCAUGAACCGUACGAUUAUGGAGAAGGUGAGAUGUAUGUUGACAGAGGCAGGCUUAGAGCAAAAGUUCUGGGCGGAAGCAGCUUCUACAGCUGUCUACUUAAUCAACCGAUCUCCCAGUACAGCUAUUAACUUCAAACUACCGGCAGAGGUGUGGUCUGGAACCAAAACAGACUUAAAUCAUCUAAGGAAGUUCGGGUGUACAGCUUAUGUUCACGUGACUCAAGUCAAAACCAGUCCAAGAGCGAUGAAAGGAGUUUUCAUGGGAUAUCCAGACGGGACUAAAGGUUAUCGAGUUUGGUUACCAGAAGAACUAAGAUGUACAGUGAGCAGAAACGUGAUUUUCAAUGAGGAAGAGAUGUUUAAAGACAUUAAAGGAGUCAGCGAGAAGAAAAGAAAAACGAAAAAUGUAACGUUCAAUCCUGUGCUGAUUCAAGGACCUUCAAACACAACUACAGACACUGAAACAGAGGAUACAGUUCAAGGUGGAGUUUCUCCAGCAUCAGAAAACUCGGAACCUGAAUCUUCAAGCUCAGAAAGCGAAGAAGAAGUUGUGGGAACUCAACAGGAAAAUCUAGACAACUACAUUCUUGCUAGAGAUAGAAUCAGGAGAGAAGUAAAGAAACCUUCUAGGUUUGAUGAUUCAGAUUGCGUGGCUUAUGCUCUAGCUACAGCAGAAGAAAUAAAUAAGGAUGAGCCGAAAUCCUAUUUGGAAGCAAGAAGGAGUAAGAGCUGGAAGUUGUUGGGGUCAAAAUCGGUCACGACGGAAUCAAUGUCUGAAAGUCCGUAAAAAUCAGCAUAACCGUUUUUACGAAAAGUAAUCUUCGUAAAGAUAUCUUUACGAACAGCCUUGCAGUAAAAUAUCGUCCAAAUCUCAAUCGAACCACUAAAUACCGAUUGUCCGAAGGCAACGGACAUGUAUCCAAAUCGGCCGCGGACAAGCUCGAGUAUGGAAAUCAGACCGCGGACAAGCCAAGCUCGAUCGAUACGCGGCAACCAAGCAUGCACACAGCUCGGUCGCUACGUAGCGACCGAGCUCGAGCCAAGCUCGGUCGCUACAUAGCGACCGAGCAUCCGUCUCGCUCGGUCGCUACGUAGCGACCGAGCGAUCGUCCCGCUCGGUCGCUACGUAGCGACCGAGCUCGAGCCAAAGCUCGGUCGCUACGUAGCGACCGAGCGAUCGUCCCGCUCGGUCGCUACGUAGCGACCGAGCUCAGCCAAGCUCGGUCGCUACGUAGCGACCGAGCGCUCGUCCCGCUCGGUCGCUACGAAGCGACCGGGCUCGAGCCAAAGUUCGGUCGCUGUGUAGCGAUUGAACCUUUCCGAAUGUCAAUACGACACCAGUUCUUGCAUUCUCGUCAAAACCUUCGAAUGCUAUCUCCCGAAGACCGUAGCAAGCUCAGUCCAUGUUUCCCGCCAUUCUAAUUCAUCGAUCAAACUUCGCGGAUUAGAAACCGCGGAAAACUCGUAGUAAACGUGUCGAGUCGGAAGACGGCCCAAAGGGACCUAAAACACGACUCGAGGCCCAUCCUACGAUUUUCCUAAUCAAAAGCCCGUAAACCACAGCCUGGUUUACGCUUGGUCUACAAGGAAGGAUAAAUGUCAAGUUUCCGCGGAUAAAUACGGAAGUUUUGAAGAUAAUUGUGAAGAUCGGGAAAAAUGAAAUAUCUCCAUUUUUAUGCUAUGACGGCUUAAGGGCAGAAGAGUAAAAGCGUAAACCGACCUUGGAGCUAGUAUAUAAGGAGUCCUAGGCGAGGAGCAAGAGGGAGAACUUUUUAGAUUCGGAAUUCUCUGCACUUAGAAACUUUAGGCUUAUUCUCGACAAGUUCGGUUUCUAUGACUGGCACUCAAUUACUAGACGAAUUCGCCCAGGCAGUUCGAUCUCUUGUCCAGCUCUAUCAAUUGAACUACGUUCGGCUUGAUCCUCGAAAGGGGUACGUAGGCAGCCUUUAACAAGGUUCAGUCCGAAAUCAAUCUAAGCCUUUUAGAUAUCUUUUUCGUCCUUUGUUAUCGAGCUGCGACUCAACUAGGAUUAGGGUUUUAUGUUGCUAGAACUAGGUAACUCGCUGACGGCCCCUGCGGCCAAAGCCUUUGUAUUCUCUUGUAAUGAUCGCAACGCUCUUACGCGGACUCGAAAUAAGAUCUACUGUUUUCUCUAAACUCGUUUGUUAUCUUUUCAUGAUUUCCGCAUAUAUUCGAUCACUUGUCGUUGGCUCUCGCAGAGAUCCGGGACCUCUGGGAAAUUAGGGUUUUCCUAGUUUCCUUAUUUAAACGGAAAUCGACAGUGCGAAUUUCGGUUCCCACAGUUUGGCGCUAGAAGGAGGGGGGGUUACGGAUUACUCUUACUCAUGGCCACAAAACGCUUGAUCGAAACGAUGUUUGGAUAUAUGAAAGACAAACUCGCAGCACUGACUGCUCCUAUGGCCAACGCUUACGCAAACGCCGUAGUUUUCAACAAAAUCGAAAACUUAGUCGCGACCUUCCGCCACAGGAAGAGCACUAAAACAAGCUCGCGAUUCCUCCCUGUAAACAAGAAGGGAAACGAUAAAUCUUAUCAAAACCCCGUAAACAAAUCUCGAUGCAUAAGGGUUUUACCAAAACACGUUUUCCGAAAACAUUUCGGAAGGAUAAAACUUGUUCUCCCAAAAAAACCGCUGAAAAACCCCUACGUUAAUCGCGGAAAAAGGAAACACAACAAAACGAUUACACAGCUCGGUCGCUACGUAGCGACCGAGCACGCACACUGCUCGGUCGUUACGUAGCGACCGAGCACGCACACGCUGCUCGGUCGCUACGUAGCGACCGAACACACACGCUGCUCGGUCGCUACGUAGCGACCAAGCUCAUACGCUGCUCGGUCGCUACGUAGCGACCGAGCACUCACACGGCUUGGUCGCUACGUAGCGACCGAGCAUGCACGCUGCUCGGUCGCUACGUAGCGACCGAGCACACACGCUGCUCGGUCGCUACGUAGCGACCGAGCACGAACACGCUGCUCGGUCGCUACGUAGCGACCGAGCACGCACACUGCUCGGUCGCUACGUAGCGACCGAGCACGCACACGCUGGUCGGUCGCUACGUAGCGACCGAGCACACACACUGCUCGGUCGCUACGUAGUGACCAAGCUCAAGCCAACUCUCCACUCGCUACAUAGCGACCUGUAAGGCCUCAGAAAGGUCCUCCUUUGGGUUCUCUUUUGAAUCCUCGUCGAAACGCUUUUCGUUUCGUCUCAAUCGGAGUUUCCGUUGAGAUUUUACGACGAACACAAGUGGGAAUCUUCUCGGCUUGCUUCCACUCGCUACGUAGCGACCUGUCAGACUGUCAGUCGCUACGUAGCGACCUGUAAGGCCUCAGAAAGGUCCUUCUUUGGGUUCUCUUUUGAAUCCUCGUCGAAACGCUUUUCGUUUCGUCUCAAUCGGAGUUUCCGUUGAGAUUUUACGACGAACACAAGUGGGAUUCUUCUCGGCUUGCUUCCACUCGCUACGUAGCGACCUGUCAGACUGUCAGUCGCUACGUAGCGACCUGUAAGGCCUCAGAAAGGUCCUUCUUUGGGUUCUCUUUUGAAUCCUCGUCGAAACGCUUUUCGUUUCGUCUCAAUCGGAGUUUCCGUUGAGAUUUUACGACGAAAACAAGUAGGACGCUUCUCGGCUUGCUUCCAUUCGCUACUUAGCGACCUGUCAGACUGUCAGUCGCUACGUAGCGACCUGUAAGUCCUCAAAGGGUUCUUCCUUUGCGUUCUCCUUUGAAUCCUCUUCGAAAUGCUUUUUGUUUCGUCUCAAUCGGAGUUUCCGUUGAGAUUUUACGACAAAAACAAGUAGGACGCUUCUUGGCUUGCUUCCAUUCGCUACGUAGCGACCUGUGAGACUGUCAAUCGCUACGUAGCGACCUGUGAGUCCUCAAAGGGUUCUUCCUUUGCGUUCUCCUUUGAAUCCUCUUCAAAAUGCUUUUCGUUUCGUUUCAAUCGGAGUUUCCGUUGAGAUUUUACGACGAAAACAAGUGGGACUCGUCUCGGCUCCCUUCCACUCGCUAUAGCGACCGAGAUGACAUCCUCACUCGCUAUAGCAACCUGUCAGGCCUCAAAGGGGUCCUCCUUUGCGUUCUCCUUUGAAUUCUCAUCGAAACGCUUUUGGUUUCGUCUCAAUCGGAGUUUCCGUUGAGAUUUUACGACAAAAACAAGUAAACCUCAUCCUAAACUCCUUGGCUUGUUUCUGCUCACCCUACCUCCAUCUUUGCGUUCACUUUCGAAUCUCGAUCGAAACGUCUCUUGUUUCGCCUCGAUUGAAGUUACCAUUGAGACUUUACGAUAUAAAAAAAAAAAAAAACCGCAAAGACCUAUUUUCUCGCAUGGAUUCAGAUUAAUCGUAUAAAACGGCAAUGGUUAACUUAACACCUUAGCCGCCUUAACUAUACGAUUACGUUGGACCUUUUUACAAAAAUCGACGUCUUAUCUAAGGAGAAGAUAACAGUCAAGUUCGGAAGAUAAAUGUCAAGUUUCAAAGGGUAAACACCAAUAUCGGAAAUGGCGAACAUACACGAGAAUAGGAAACGGAAAUGAGCACGCAAAACUGAGAAGGGAUAAAACUGCAUCUUCGAGAGAACUAAGGUAUUUUCGACUUGAAAUUUUUGAAAUCAGACUUGGAAUUUUCGUAGGAAAUUACUUUGAGGCUGCCAUAGAACUUUAGGGAACGUAAAACCUAGGCGGAUAGUCUAGCGAACUAAGUUUUAAGCGAUUUUUCCUGUCUCGAUAUAUUGUCCCAUAAUUGUUCAUCCAAAUCUUGCAAACCGAUCUAAACUCUCCGAAAGUCGAGAAAUGAUCGCCACGCAUAUCAAGCUCGCUUCCUAAAGAGAGAAAAAGUUAGAGACAUGAACGUCGUCUUAAAACCGAUUCGUUUCUGGCAAUUUUCUCGGAACCGACAUAUCCCAAGUCGUCAACGUGGAAACAACCAAAUCACAGUCCAAGCGUCGUCUAUAAAUCGUCCCGAAUUAUCGAUCAUUCCAAACAUCAGGAGAGGAAACGUACACAACCCUUCAAAGUAUCGGUUCAACCGUUUUUCUUUCGUAAAAAAAAAAGGGGAGUAGGUACGUAUACUAUACUCGUAUACUCCCAAACUUCAAAAAACUUCUGCAAAUCGUCAAGAAUAGGCAAACGACAAUCUUAAUAUUCGUCUAAACGCUAGCAACAUAUCCAGACGAUCAUGAACAUAAUCUCAAAAACUAUACAUCAUUUCUUGUCGCAAUCAUGCGUACAGAAAACUUGUACCAAUAUCAAACUGAAACUCGACGAUUAGCCAAAGUAUUGAAGCCUUUUCCGGCUUCAGAAAGCCAGUUUCGUUUUAAACUUAGCGGCGAGAAAUCUUCAAUCACCAAAGCAUUUCUUUCAGUUUCCGUUGUACCAAGUAAGUCACGGAAAAGUAUCGAAAACAUUUGCGACGAAGAAAACUCGAGAAUAUAUGUAGCAUCGUGCACAUUAAAAGAAGCACUUUCCUCCCGAUGGUUAGCUAGAUCCACUUCUGGUUGACCAAUUCUUUCAAGAAACAAAUGUGUCAUGAGAAUCCUCUCGAAAAACCUAUGAAAAACGUUCUGCGACUAGAUCGUAUUGAAAUAAACUUCGGUAAUACUCCAUGGGUAACGCCAAGCAACCUUCACCUAAGAUCAAAAUCAAAGCGGGAACGUUUCUCGUAGAACCCGCAGAAACAAUGCUACUUUGACAUAUGUAUACAUAUCACUGAUUUACGACCUUCGUAAAAUCGGUUAUAUGAUAUGAUAAAUUAUCGUAUAGCCCACAAUCGGAAAUCAUAUGAUAAAUUCUUCAUAACGAAACUAAGUCCUAACAACUAAACGGUUAACGGAAAAUCUAAACUUUUCGAAAAUUGACCAAGUUCAAUACGCUCCACAAUUCACUUUAAGCCCGCAACGUUUUAACCACAAUACGCGGCAUGUAAGGAAAAAUUCGUAACAAAGCUUCUAGAGCUAUAUGAAACAUCCUAAAAAAUGCACGAAAUACAUCUCGGAAGGCCAACUCUUCACAAAGCACAAUGAAGGAAAACACUUGUUCCCAUGGACAAAUUUACACGACACCUCAGUCAUAAUUCCUCGAUCGCAAACAAAACUAUUAGCAUCCGAACAGGAACAACAAUUUUUGGCUGCGAACAUUCUUAGUCAAACCAGAAUGUUUCUCAAACACAGGGCUAAUACUAAACCCUCGCAACAUCGCGAAAUAUCUUCAAAGCCCGCGAACAUUUCAAGCACGAAACGUGGCAUACGAAAGAAUAACAAAUCUUCAGCAUCGCGAGACGUCGCGGACGCCUGAAGAUUAGUUCUUCGACGAAAUUUCCUUCCUCGAUAAAAACACCUUCAUGGAAGACCAGACAGUCAUACGCACUAACAUCUUCUCAAAACAUAUUCUUCGCGAAGACUCAAAAUAGUAAUUUUUACCAUUAAGUUUGUUGCUGAUCACAACAAACUCUUAACGUCCUAAACAGACUUAGCCAUCUCGUAGAAGAUGACUCUCUUACAUCCGACACAAGGAUAAUAGCGCUAUAAAAGAAAUCCGAAAAUUUUGGUCCAGCACUUCCGGUCUCCGGAGAGAUGCUCGAUUCCAACCAUACAAGUCGUAUAAGCCGAGAACCUAUCGCGGACUUUAAAUCGGUAUGGAAUCAGGAUGAAACUGAAACGGGAUACGUAAGUCGAAUUAGUCAUCGCACCCUCUAAAACCAGGAGUAAACCUAGGUCUUGCCCUAAACCCAGCGCACUGGUCUCUAACAUCUCUAGGCAUAGUAUCAAACACCCUGAUACGAGAUCCCAAAAUUUGUCUCUUUGCCAAUAUUCGAACGUCUUCAGAAAAUCCCGCAAGUUUACACACUGCGGAAAACUCUCGAAACAGAUUAUGGAUAUGGCAAUUCACACAGAGUUAGAUUACGAGACGACAACUCGUAGUCUUCCCUCUACACCCAUACAAAUGCCAUCGGCAGCAACACGCCUUAUAACCGCUACAUAAAAACUAGACCAUAAAGGUCCUACUGGAAAACUAGUCAUAAGAACCUUAACUCCAAGAUGAACUACGAAAGGCUUGAUCCCUUCAACAAGGGUACGUAGGCAGCCGUCAUAAGGCGCAGCCCCAAUCUUAUCGCGUUUUCUACUUUUAGGAGAGCGAGAAGAUCACUUACCACAGACCUUUUCAACCAUUAAUUCCGCCUAACUCACCUACCUUGCCUAACUUGCCAAGCCACUCGCUAGAACCUCACGCUAGAAGCUCAUGAUUCUAACGAGCUGGGGGGCUAACUGUUGGGGUCAAAAUCGGUCACGACGGAAUCAAUGUCUGAAAGUCCGUAAAAAUCAGCAUAACCGUUUUUACGAAAAGUAAUCUUCGUAAAGAUAUCUUUACGAACAGCCUUGCAGUAAAAUAUCGUCCAAAUCUCAAUCGAACCACUAAAUACCGAUUGUCCGAAGGCAACGGACAUGUAUCCAAAUCGGCCGCGGACAAGCUCGAGUAUGGAAAUCAGACCGCGGACAAGCCAAGCUCGACCGAUACGCGGCAACCAAGCAUGCACACAGCUCGGUCGCUACGUAGCGACCGAGCUCGAGCCAAGCUCGGUCGCUACGUAGCGACCGAGCCCAGCCAAGCUCGGUCGCUACGUAGCGACCGAGCGAUCGUCCCGCUCGGUCGCUACGUAGCGACCGAGCUCGAGCCAAAGCUCGGUCGCUACGUAGCGACCGAGCGAUCGUCCCGCUCGGUCGCUACGUAGCGACCGAGCGAUCAUCCCGCUCGGUCGCUACGUAGCGACCGAGCUCGAGCCAAAUCUCGGUCGCUACGUAGCGACCGAGCGAUCGUCCCGCUCGGUCGCUACGUAGCGACCGAGCUCGAGCCAAAGCUCGGUCACUACGUAGCGACCGAGCGAUCGUCCCGCUCGGUCGCUACGUAGCGACCGAGCUCAGCCAAGCUCGGUCGCUACGUAGCGACCGAGCGCUCGUCCCGCUCGGUCGCUACGAAGCGACCGGGCUCGAGCCAAAGUUCGGUCGCUGUGUAGCGAUUGAACCUUUCCGAACGUCAAUACGACACCAGUUCUUGCAUUCUCGUCAAAACCUUCGAAUGCUAUCUCCCGAAGACCGUAGCAAGCUCAGUCCAUGUUUCCCGCCAUUCUAAUUCAUCGAUCAAACUUCGCGGAUUAGAAACCGCGGAAAACUCGUAGUAAACGUGUCGAGUCGGAAGACGGCCCAAAGGGACCUAAAACACGACUCGAGGCCCAUCCUACGAUUUUUCUAAUCAAAAGCCCGUAAACCACAGCCUGGUUUACGCUUGGUCUACAAGGAAGGAUAAAUGUCAAGUUUCCGCGGAUAAAUACGGAAGUUUUGAAGAUAAUUGUGAAGAUCGGGAAAAAUGAAAUAUCUCCAUUUUUAUGCUAUGACGGCUUAAGGGCAGAAGAGUAAAAGCGUAAACCGACCUUGGAGCUAGUAUAUAAGGAGUCCUAGGCGAGGAGCAAGAGGGAGAACUUUUUAGAUUCAGAAUUCUCUGCACUUAGAAACUUUAGGCUUAUUCUCGACAAGUUCGGUUUCUAUGACUGGCACUCAAUUACUAGACGAAUUCGCCCAGGCAGUUCGAUCUCUUGUCCAGCUCUAUCAAUUGAACUACGUUCGGCUUGAUCCUCGAAAGGGGUACGUAGGCAGCCUUUAACAAGGUUCAGUCCGAAAUCAAUCUAAGCCUUUUAGAUAUCUUUUUCGUCCUUUGUUAUCGAGCUGCGACUCAACUAGGAUUAGGGUUUUAUGUUGCUAGAACUAGGUAACUCGCUGACGGCCCCUGCGGCCAAAGCCUUUGUAUUCUCUUGUAAUGAUCGCAACGCUCUUACGCGGACUCGAAAUAAGAUCUACUGUUUUCUCUAAACUCGUUUGUUAUCUUUUCAUGAUUUCCGCAUAUAUUCGAUCACUUGUCGUUGGCUCUCGCAGAGAUCCGGGACCUCUGGGAAAUUAGGGUUUUCCUAGUUUCCUUAUUUAAACGGAAAUCGACAGUGCGAAUUUCGGUUCCCACAGAAGUUAUGGAACGAGGGAAUGCAAGAAGAGAUGGAUUCGUUGAAAAAAAAUCAGACUUGGAAGCUGGUUGAGAAACCAGAGAAAAAGAAGAUUAUUGGCAGCAAGUGGGUUUUCAAGCUGAAAGAAGGCAUUCCUGGAGUAGAGAAGCCGAGAUACAAAGCUAGAUUAGUAGCUAAAGGGUUUUCACAAGUUGAAGGGAUCGACUACACAGAGGUGUUUGCACCAGUGGUGAAACACGUGUCGAUUAGAAUUAUGCUGUCACUUGUUGCAAAUUAUGAUCUUGAUUUGGAACAACUAGACGUGAAAACGGCUUUCCUGUACGGAACGUUAGACGAGGAGAUAUAUAUGGCACAGCCAGAAGGUUUCGUUGAGGAGGGAAAAGAAGAUCAAGUUUGUCUCCUGUUGAAAUCACUUUACGGAUUAAAACAAUCACCAAGACAGUGGAAUAGGAGAUUUGAUAGUUUCAUGAAGCAACAAGGCUUCGAAAGAAGUGCAUAUGAUCCUUGUGUCUACAUGAAAGGUUCAGACUUAUCUCAUAUGGUUUAUCUCUUGAUCUAUGUUGAUGACAUGCUCAUAGCAUCUAAGGAUUCUAAAGAAAUUAAAAGAAUCAAAGAUAGCUUGAAGAGAGAGUUUGAGAUGAAGGACCUUGGAGCAGCUUCAAGAAUACUUGGAAUGGAUAUUAUUAGAGACAGGAAGAAAGGAACUCUAAAACUAUCGCAAGGGAAGUAUCUACAGAAGGUGCUGGAAACUUUUAACAUGGCAGAGAGCAAAGCUGUGGUUACUCCUAUCGGACCACAAUUCAAGCUUAAAAGUUUGACACAAAAAGAAGAGCACGAGGAAGCAAGGUUCAUGAAUGUGAUCCCAUACGCAUCAGCCGUUGGAAGUUUAAUGUAUGCAAUGGUGGGAUCUAGACCAGACUUAUGUUUCGCAGUGGGCUUAAUCAGCCGUUAUAUGAGCAAGCCAGGAAGAAUACACUGGGAAGCUGUUAAGUGGGUGAUGAGAUAUCUUAAAGGAGCUCUAGAUUCGGAUCUAUUGUUUACUAAAGGAGAAGAUUUCAAAGUACGAGGAUUCUGUGACGCAGACUACGCAACCGAUUUGGACAGAAGAAGAUCCGUGACAGGAUAUGUGUUUCAAGUCGGAGGCAACACAAUAAGCUGGAGAUCAGGUCUCCAACAUAUUGUCGCACUAUCAACGACAGAAUCAGAAUACAUGGCAUUAGCCGAAGCUUUUAAAGAAGCAUUAUGGCUUAAGGGGUUUGUUAGUGAAUUGGGAUUCAAGCAAGAUGAUGUGAGAGUGUUUUCAGAUUCACAGAGUGCUAUACACUUAGCUAAGAAUGGAGGAUUCCAUGAAAGGACUAAGCAUAUAGAUACUAGACUACACUUUAUGAGAGACGUAAUUGAGGCUGGCGAUGUUACGGUUCACAAGAUUCACACAUCUAUCAACCCUGCAGAUUUUCUAACUAAGUGUGUACCUGGACAGAAGUUCGAGACAUGCUUGGAGAUCCUCAAGGUUCUGCCUUAGAAGGUCUCGCGUGGCUGCAGGUGACAAUGCUGUCGAGUUGAUCACCUCGCGGAAAGGCCACAAAAGAAAAUAUCAGUUUCAGGAAAAGUAAACUGAUGGUUCGACAGGGUUAUUAUAAAGCUCGGAAAGAAGAUGAAUUUGAAUGUAGAAUAUUACCUUCAAAUAAUGACGGGUGUAGACAGGAGCUGUCUAUGCAAGGAAUCUGAAAAAAUUAUUCAGGAAAUACUAGUCAAAGAAUUGUUUUAUGCAGAGAUUAAGCUUCAAACAGAAGCUGGAAAAAUCAUUAUAAAGAGAUGAAUCAGAAGCUCUACCUGAAGACGUGGGGUUGUAGCAAGGAAACGCCUGCAACACAGUUGUGAACAAAAGUUAUUAAUUCACAAGUUCAAAGCUCUUAAAGGAAUUGAAGCAACAAUUCUAAUUUGAUUACCUUACGGAAGUAACGAUGGUGAAGAGACGUCAACACCAUGA